ensembl:rRNA 5S_rRNA 5S ribosomal RNA
GCUUACGCCCACACCACCUUGAGCACGUCCAAUCUCAUCUGAUCUCAGGAGCUAAGCAGGAUCGGGCCUGGUUAGUACUUGGAAGAGAGACCGCCUGGGAAUACCAGGUGCUGUAAACU